AUUGAACGCUGGCGGUAUGCUUAACACAUGCAAGUCGAACGAACAAAAUUGGGGCUUGCUCCAAUUUUAGUGAGUGGCAAACGGGUGAGUAACACGUGGGAAUCUACCUAUCAGUACGGAAUAACAUUUGGAAACAGAUGCUAAUACCGUAUAUUCUCCAAGGAGGAAAGAUUUAUCGCUGAUAGAUGAGCCCGCGCAAGAUUAGGUAGUUGGUAGGGUAAUGGCCUACCAAGCCGACGAUCUUUAGCUGGUCUGAGAGGAUGAUCAGCCACACCGGGACUUAGACACGGCCCAGACUCCUACGGGAGGCAGCAGUGGGGAAUAUUGGACAAUGGGCGAAAGCCUGAUCCAGCAAUACCGCGUGAAUGAUGAAGGCCUUAGGGUUGUAAAGUUCUUUUAGUUGGAAAGAUAAUGACGGUACCAACAGAAAAAGCCCCGACUAACUCCGUGCCAGCCGCCGCGGUAA
rnacentral:rRNA from 1 species